GUCAAAAAACCUGCACCAAAAAACAAAAAAAAGCCGUUCACUUGUGCGCACCGCUCAAAACUGGGGCCUGGACAGUCGGAGCUACCUCCAGCUGCCAGCCAGGCUCUGAGUGGCAGGAUUGCCACUGCUGCGGCCUCAGAAGUCUCCCAGGACCCCAGGUAAGGCUGCUAGGGCUGACCCAGUGCUACCUCCAGCCUCCCCUACCCCAUCUGGGGUAAUCUGCCAUACACCAGAGGGCACAUGGCACUGACAUUCCCCAGGGACAACAAGUAGCGGCACAUGUGCCAGUGCUAGUUGUUCCUGGGGAACCAAAAGUCCAUGCUUGUGUGAAUGCAGCCACAAUGAUGACAGGAGGAAAUGGCACCAGUACCUAAAUAUGAUUUCUUCAACCUCUACCUUGCUAGAAAAUGUUGCCCCUUCCUCCUGACUGAAGACCUAGCCACAAUGAUCCAGGCAUUUGUCACCACUAGGCUGAAUUACUGUUAUUCACUGUAUUUGCAGCUGAAUGUGAAGACAAUGCACUGGCCCCAGCUAGUACUGGAAUUAGCUGUAUGCCUUCUCCAUGGCAUAAACUGCCAUGAACACAGUGGGCCUGUGCUCAAGUCUGUCCCCUAGAUCCUAGUCAUCUUUUAAUUUCAGUAUAAUGCCUUGGUUCUAUGCUUCAAAUCCAUUAGUCAGUCAGGCCCCUGCUACAUCAAAGAUCACAUUUUAAUCUAUGAACCACCAAACCAGAUGUAUUCCUCUGGGACAAUGUAGAUCAGAAAGACUAGGGCUUCCUUGCUAUUGAUUUUAUAUGGAAGGCACCAUGAAGAUGGGUAACAGUAUAAAAACCUAAGGACAGAUAUAGAUAGAAUUUAGAGAUUAUUCUUCAUUCCAGAGUAAAACACUCAACAAUCCAAUAUAUCAUAUGUAGAUGGCAGGGAAAAAUCAGUGUCAAAUAUUGAGGGGGCCUACCCUGUAAUAGUCACUGAUGCUGAUUGAGAUUUUGCUUUCUUUGUCCCUUUCCUAGAUGAAUUCCUUUCUAAGGUCUUGUUAGCCUCAGUUCUUAAUCCAGAACUGGAACCAGCCUGUGGCCUGUAGAAGGAUGUAACUCACCUGGCCAACACCAGGGCUGUCCAACUGACAGCCCACUGGCUGAGCAGUUAAUGCAAAGCCUCUGGGCUCUGACCCAGCCACUGCUCUGGCUACCACUCCCUCACCUGGCUUCUCAGGCAUGGCCCUGCCCUAAGGGGUGGAUUGACAUGGUGCAGUGCAGCCUGCAGUGCUGGGGGAGCUGAUGGCAUAGUGCCACAAGGAAGCCUGAAAGGAGCUGAAAGUGAGGUAGAGCCCUGGGCCAUGUGUGUAGUGCAGCAGGGUGAAGGGAGAGUUGCCUGCCUGUGCACACAGUGCAGCAGGGAUUGAGCACCCACUCACCUGCCUGUGUGCAGGGUGUGCAACCUCAUGGGGGAGCUUGGUAUCUUUUAGCACUGCUCCCACAGUGUGCAGCUCUGUAGGGUGUGCUGUAGGGUAUGUGGUUCCCAGCCUCUUUGAAGUGGGACAGCUCUGGCCUACACAAUCCCAGAUCUAAAAGUGCUAGUUAGUAGAAAAGCAGAUGAGUUCAUAUAAUGUUGCAUGUGACUGUCCCCAUCCUCCACAAGGAGACAUGCGUUGGUGGCUUGAUCUUGUGCUUGUUGGAUGCCAUAACAAAACUCCACUCUUACCCCCUUAACUUCAGUGCUUCAGGAUCAGGUGUUACCAGACUUUGUGUGACAAGAUCUCCUGUCUCAUACCCGCAACCCAUGAGACCCCAUCCCUUCUCCAGACAUACUGCCUCAUUCCACAGCAUUUGACCUCGAAGUAGGAAGCCCUCACUUUUUUAUGAUCUCUUAGUUCUCAAAACCCUAUAACUGAGCCACAUGAGUUCUGCCCAAUAUACUUGGGCGGUGGAAUCUAGCCCUACUCUGUGUACAAGUGUGACCACUCGAGAAUGCCAGUAUAAUGCACAAGGGUACACUUUCCUUAGGGAAGGUCUGGGAGUGUUUUUCUUUCUAAAUCAGUAUUUCAAAGAAUGUUACAGAAUAGUAAGUGCCAAAGCACAGCAGUGAAAAGGUUAAACAUGAGGAAAUAAUAUACACUUUAACAGGGUUGCAGAAGAGAACGCUUCUUUUUUUCCCCUCUAAAGUGUUUUAUUAAGUGGCCAGUGAGGUUAUUUGAAACGUAUGACAAAAUCCAAUACACGCUGUUCAGCAAUAAUAUGAACUUCCUGAACUGCUGAAAGAGACUAAAUUCAUGUAAGUUUUCACCUUCAGUUUUAAUGCCAUGAAGCUGCUUGUAUGUACCAUGUGACAAAUGGGGCUAUUCCUAAAGCAUUUGCACUUAUUGUUGCAUUUAUAAAACUCAGGCAAGUUAAAGUUGAUAGCUUUAUGCACUUAGAAAUGAAAUAUGGACCUCAACUACUUUUUUUUCCAAGCUCACAGUUUGCCAUAUGAGUAUAAGAAAUAAAUACAACUGUUCAGCUAUUUAGGAAACACCUCUGGCCCUAGCCCCAACAACAAUUCAAUUCAAACUGGAAAAGUUACCAGCAUUCUUUAAUAAAAAUAAUUUCCAAAACAAUCAAGGGCUCCACAACAGCCCUUUCAUUUCCAAGAGAAGAAUAUAAUUUUCUCUAAUUAUUAUACUUCCAAAAAUCAAAGGUUCAGUUUUUCCUCUGCAGUGCAAACCUAACAGACCUGGCCCCUUAAGGAUCUUCACUGCAUGGGGACAUUCCUGGGUGACCCUGGAGCUAUUCCAACUUUCUUUCUUCUGGCUGAGAUGAGUGAUGUAGCCACAGGAAAAAGGGCAUAGACAAGCUAUUUCCAUGCCCAGUAAUCUGUAAGUGCAAGAACAGCUCCUGAGAGCAGUUGGCAACUAAAAUAAGGGGAGGAAGAAGUUUCCCAAAAUCUGGGAGCGCCCACAAGAUAUGGGUGAGGAAUGCAUUGGUAGCUGUUUAAGUAUGCACAAAUCAAAUGCUUGUGAAAGAUACCCUAUUAGCAGUGCUGGAGACUAAAGUCCUCAGUUUAUCCAUAACAGAGCUAUGUCACCGGCAGAAGCAUAUCAGGUUCUGCUCUGUGAUCUCAGCAAUCUACCUCAAACCUGGCCAUAGGUCCAUGUUCAAAUUAACUCAGUCACAGAUCUCUCCAGUGUGACAACCAGCAACGAUGUUCAUCUGUGCUGAUUACAGCAGUGAAUUCUGUGAUGAUUUGUCCAAUGGGAACUGCAUUAAUAACCACCAGCCAGCCUCACACUAAGCUGUGUGAUCAGCCUUUUCCAUAUUUCUUCAGCAUUCAUUAUUCUGCUUCUUCCAGAAGAGAAAAAAUGGAAUCAAGAAAGCAGAGUUUUAACAUUCCAUGCUUUUGGAACUAUUGACUGUACCUUAGCUACUUGUCACUUUUUUUUUUUAUCACACCCUUAGUUGGCUCACAUAGCCGGUCUCACAUCCGUCCUAUUUUUCUGCUGGCGCCACACACAUGUUGCUGUCACCUCCACAGAGCUGAAAAAUAUUUUCCUGCAGUUCUUGAAGAAACAAUGAAAAUCCAUCUAGUUUGCCAUAAAUGCUAUUGACAGGAUUUAAAAAAUAACCAUAUAGUAAUUAUAAAAGUCAGAGCAGUGGCUAAAAUUUUGCUAAUUCUCAUACAAAGUGCAAACACCCUGAAAGAAGAGGAGUCCUUCUUCAGGUCUGAAAUAGUCAUUGCAUUAAAGUAGGUCAAUGUGACAGUGCAGCUUUGCUGCCUGCCACUUUAAGGGCAGGAGCAGGCAGCCACCAGGUGCCUGAUGAGGGUGGCCAUUUUCAAACAUAGGCUCGAGAGGCAGCAGUCUGUGUUCAGUAGCCAAGAAGCCAAUGUUGGGCUGAGUUGCUCCUGGAAUACCCUGGAGGCUAGGUUCCCACUGAACCUGGAUAUCAGGACCUGGCCUGGCCAAAAAAGAACUUACAAGUGCAAAUAAAUUAUUUAUAUGGAAAACUUGUAUCUAGCUUGGCAACCUGGGAGUGAUGUAUUACUUCAAUGAUCAUUACAGCAUCAUAUGGAGAAGAUAUUUCAUCAGCAGAGAGCUUAUUUUAGAAGUGAUCAUUCUAAGAUUUGUGGCUCCAUAGCUACCUGCUUCAGUUUCUUAAUGGGUAUGUCUACAUAUGCAAUUAAUGCAACUAAAUAAACUGCAAUUUGAGCUAGAGUAAACUAAUCCUGACAUCAUUGUCUACAUGUGUGUUUAAGCACAGUAAUUUACCCUGCCAUCAGAGUACCUGUGUCUGAUGGGACUAUCUGAUUGAGCUAUAAAUUAGUCUGAACUUCAACCUAAUUGCCAUGUACAUGUAGACAGUGCGCUUUAUUGCUCAGUUGACUUUGCUGUGCAGUAAAGUGUCACAUGUAGAUAUGCCCAAUGGGGAGAAUAAUGUUAAAAAAAAAACAAAAAAAAACCCAUGGUGAAAGAAUAAUGAAGAAUAAAAUGUGCAUGUCCAGUCAUUGCUUUUGUUAGUUUAAGUAGAAAGCAUCAUAUUUUAUAAGCAUAAACGUUUUGCAAAACUAUUUUACUUGAAGCCUUUUGGCUGCUAAGUCUUUUUGUGUUCAAAAAAUUGUAUAUUUUUAUAGUUAAAUAUUACUAAAUCUUGAAAUAAAACUCUUCAAAUGUGA